rnacentral:rRNA from 1 species
GUAGGUGGCAAGCGUUGUCCGGAAUUAUUGGGCGUAAAGCGCGCGCAGGUGGUUCUUUAAGUCUGAUGUGAAAGCCCCCGGCUCAACCGGGGAGGGUCAUUGGAAACUGGGGAACUUGAGUGCAGGAGAGGAAAGUGGAAUUCCACGUGUAGCGGUGAGAUGCGUAGAUAUGUGGAGGAACACCAGUGGCGAAGGCGACUUUCUGGCCUGUAACUGACACUGAGGCGCGAAAGCGUGGGGAGCAAACAGGGAUUAGAUACCCUGGUAGUCCACGCCGUAAACGAUGAGUGCUAAGUGUUGGGGGGGGUUUCCGCCCCCUCAGUGCUGCAGCUAACGCAUUAAGCACUCCGCCUGGGAGUACGGUCGCAAGACUG